UACAGAGGGUGCAAGCGUUGCUCGGAAUCAUUGGGCGUAAAGGGCAAGUAGGUGGUCUCAUUUGUCUAGGGUGAAAUCCUUGAGCUUAACUCAAGAAGUGCCCCAGAAACGGUGAGACUCGAGUACUGGAGAGGGUCGUGGAAUUCCCGGUGUAGCGGUGAAAUGCGUAGAGAUCGGGAGGAACACCAGAGGCGAAGGCGGCGACCUGGACAGUUACUGACACUCAACUACGAAAGCGUGGGGAGCAAACAGG
rnacentral:rRNA from 1 species